UACGUAGGGUGCGAGCGUUAAUCGGAAUUACUGGGCGUAAAGCGUGCGCAGGCGGUUCGUUGUGAAAGCCCCGGGCUCAACCUGGGAAUGGCAAUGGAAACUGGCGGGCUGGAGUAUGGCAGAGGGGGGUGGAAUUCCGCGUGUAGCAGUGAAAUGCGUAGAGAUGCGGAGGAACACCGAUGGCGAAGGCAGCCCCCUGGGCCAAUACUGACGCUCAGGCACGAAAGCGUGGGGAGCAAACAGG
rnacentral:rRNA from 1 species